rnacentral:rRNA from 1 species
UACGUAGGGGGCAAGCGUUGGUCCGGAAUCAUUGGGCGUAAAGCGCGUGUAGGCGGCCUGGUAAGUCCGUUCUGAAAGCCCGGGGCUCAACCCCGGGAGGCGGAUGGAUACUGUCAGGCUAGAGUACGGAAGAGGCGAGUGGAAUUCCCGGUGUAGCGGUGAAAUUCGUAGAUAUCGGGAGGAACACCAGUGGCGAAGGCGGCGACCUGGACGAUAGUUGACGCCUGGAGG